rnacentral:tRNA from 1 species
GCCAACUUAGCUCAGGGGUCAGAGCUUCGGUCUUGUAAACCGAAGGUCAUCGGUUCGAAUCCGAUAGUUGGCU